UACGUAGGUGGCAAGCGUUGUCCGGAUUUACUGGGCGUAAAGAGCGCGCAGGCGGUCGUCCAAGUCGCGUGUGAAAGCCCCCGGCUCAACUGGGGAGGGUCACGCGAUACUGGUCGACUCGAAGGCAGGAGAUGGUAGUGGAAUUCCCGGUGUAGUGGUGAAAUGCGUAGAUAUCUGGAGGAACACCGGUGGCGAAGGCGGCAUCCUGGACCAACACUGACACUGAGGAGCGAAAGCCAGGGGAGCAAACGGG
rnacentral:rRNA from 1 species